UACGUAGGGUGCGAGCGUUAAUCGGAAUUACUGGGCGUAAAGCGUGCGCAGGCGGUUUUGUAAGCCGGGUGGGAAAUCCCCGGGCUCAACCUGGGAAUGGCAUUCGGGACUGCAAGGCUGGAGUGCGGCAGAGGAGACUGGAAUUCCUGGUGUAGCAGUGAAAUGCGUAGAUAUCAGGAGGAAUACCGAUGGCGAAGGCAGGUCUCUGGGCUGACACUGACGCUCAUGCACGAAAGCGUGGGGAGCAAACAGG
rnacentral:rRNA from 1 species